rnacentral:tRNA from 1 species
GAGGGUAUAACUCAGUGGUAGAGCGUGUGCUUAGCAUGCACAAGGUCCAAGGUUCAAUCCCCAGUGCCUCCA